rnacentral:rRNA from 1 species
AUUGAACGCUGGCGGCAGGCCUAACACAUGCAAGUCGAACGGUAACAGGAAGAAGCUUGCUUCUUUGCUGACGAGUGGCGGACAGGUGAGUAAUGUCUGGGAAACUGCCUGAUGGAGGGGGAUAACUACUGGAAACGGUAGCUAAUACCGCAUAACGUCGCAAGACCAAAGAGGGGGACCUUCGGGCCUCUUGCCAUCGGAUGUGCCCAGAUGGGAUUAGCUUGUUGGUGGGGUAACGGCUCACCAAGGCGACGAUCCCUAGCUGGUCUGAGAGGAUGACCAGCCACACUGGAACUGAGACACGGUCCAGACUCCUACGGGAGGCAGCAGUGGGGAAUAUUGCACAAUGGGCGCAAGCCUGAUGCAGCCAUGCCGCGUGUAUGAAGAAGGCCUUCGGGUUGUAAAGUACUUUCAGCGGGGAGGAAGGGAGUAAAGUUAAUACCUUUGCUCAUUGACGUUACCCGCAGAAGAAGCACCGGCUAACUCCGUG